UGUAGUCCAUUGAAUGGUUUGAGCGAAUUGAAGACUCGCUUCGUUUCCACUCCCAUCCCCUCUUUACUCAGGCCUGGACCAUACAAAUCCCCAUUACAACCUGGAACCCUAGCUAAGUUCAUUUCACGCUCUCUCCAAUCUCAUUUUUUCUCUCGAUCUGGAACCCUAGCCUCCUCUAUCCCUCUCCAUUUGGAUGACGAAUAACUGGAGAUGUAGAACACCGAUUUGAAGAAACCCUAACCGAUUUGUAGACACACAAAUCGAGGAUGACCCUAGCUGAUGAUGUGAACUUGGAAUAAGGAAGGGGUACCGUGUGGAAUGUUGAUAUUAUAGGAGCGAAGGGUGAGGGUUGGAUAAAUUAGGGCAAGCCUAAUGGUUCAGGGAAGUCGUUCAUUGAGGGCUCCUUAGGUGGAAUUUUAAAAACAAUGAUACUAAUAUUGAUCCAUUUAUAAGGUAACACUCGAGCUGGUCAUUGCUUACAAGGAUCAAGUAGAAAGUGUUAUUUUUUGUCUUUAGAUUAAUAAUUUAUUUACAUGAGUGGGUUUUCAUGCUU
rnacentral:lncRNA from 1 species